rnacentral:lncRNA from 1 species
UGCCAUGUUUUAGGCAGGAUAUUAGAAGUGGUCAAGAGACACCUCGCUUGCAGCUGGAUGUGGCCAUGUGACUGAGUUCUGCCAAUGGUGAGUGAACAGAGAAUCCACAUCAGAGCUCAAGAUGUAAAGAGCCAGAUCCCUGGCUGACCAUGGGGAAGAAUAUCUGGGGCAAUAGAAGAACCAGAGACUGGCUCAUGGGGCAGAUAAUACCCCCACCCACUAGCCCAGAUAUCCAGAACACCUGCAGGCACAGGGCAGACUCUUGAGCCAACCCCAUGGCCAUCCACAAUCCCAGUGAGGCAGGAAGAGACACAGACUCUGCCCACCUGGCCCAGUACUAAGAAACACCCCUGCCUUUGCAUGUGCGUGCAGGGUCCUCAACCCGUGUGUGUUGUGGGGGGGUCCUCACACUCCAAGUAUGGGUAACAACCCCUAAUACGUGGCACCAGGACACAGUGGGCCUUGGGAGGCCAGUCUCGGCCCAGUCGAUGUGGCCACCCCCAGCACCAAGGUGCCCUCGCUGUGCAGGGCAUCAGCAACUUAGAUGAGUUUUCAUUUAACAUUCUCUUUAUCACAAUUACUUUGAAAACUAUUCAGUGCAGUUAUUAAUAAUUAAUUAUUAUCUGCUGUUAUAUUAAUUAUCUGGCCAUCAGGAAUGUCACCAAGAUUUAAAAUUUUUGAUUGUUAAUAAUAUUUCCUGGACAUGGGAGAGGUUUCCUGCAUCUCCACACACGACCUCCCUGCUCUGGGUGAGGCUGGCUAGGGCCACCCUGUUGUGGGGAGCGCCCACUCUCGCUGGCACCGCCUGCAGGCUGCCCCCAUCAGUUCAUCCUGGGCCCUGAGCAGAGCUCUGGGCAGGCCUGGGUGACUGAACCCUCCCUCCAGCUGCUCCCACGGGGCCCUGGUGUGCCCAUGCUCGUGAGCCCUGUGGCCUAUGCAGGUCCUCAAUGGCCCCCAGGAUGGGGCCGCCCUGGCACCGAGGCCUGCUGGGAUUGCAGUGGGAGGCUGCGAAGCGCCUGCCACGUGAGAGGUGGCACCAGUGGCCUGCUGCGCUAGGUCAGCCCCAGCUGCAGAUCCCAGGCUGCUGCGCUCCCGCAGGGCCCUGCAGCUGUCUCCAGUGUCCUCAUCAGCCCUGUGACCAGCAGCCUCAGGGAGCCACAGGAGACAGGAGACCCUCCAUUGGGUGCACACAGACGGGCCCGGGGAGGACAGGAUGGGCCACAUGGACGGCUGGCUGGGGCUGCGGAGCCCAGGGGUGGUGCCGCAGGCACUGGGAGGUGGCAUUAUGUGACCACGGCAGCCUAAGACCACCACUGUGGGCCCAAGCUGGCAGCUCGCUUCCCACUAUUCUCAGUGAGAGGACACAGGCUACCCCUUGAGGCCAGCCCACAGCUCUCUUACCAGGCAGCACCUUACCGCCCCUCACUGUGUCCUGUCGCUCUGCUCUUGUGGCCUGCUGUGCAGCAGGCACCAUGUCACCCGUUCAUAGAUGAGCAAGCCAAGGCUCGGGGCAGGAGACCGGUGCAGCAGGCUCUCACCACCUCAUGGGAGCAGGCUCUGCACACGGCAUGCUCUCAGGCCCCUUUGGCUGAGUGCCCAGCCCCAACCCCAAGCUACCCUGCUGGCUAUCCAAGCACUGGCUGGAGUCUGGAGGAGAGAAUGGUUAGGUGCCUCCUCUGGGUGGCCCCUCACUUUAAGGCGGCUCAGGGGCUGUGCUCCAGCCUAGGUGGACGUGGUUGUGGCUGCCCCUGUCCCUCCUCCUGCCCCUGCCCCUCCUCCCACCCUUGCCUGCUUCCUCUGCUCCAGCUCAGUCAAGAAGUGUGGGGUGCUGCUGAGACAGAAGGGGGCCAGGGAGAAUGCCUAUGGCAUGAAGUCCUCCAGACCUGCCCUAGCCUCCCCCUCCCCACUCCACAAUGCGCACCACAUAAAGACCUUUGUCAGGCAUCCCCUCCAAUGCAAUCAGACCAGCGUGGAGCCUCCUGUGCCUGAGGAACUAGUCCCAAGCAAUGGCAGCCCUCAAACCCACUGUGGGCUUGUCAGCAUGGUGCUGUGACAGUGCUGAUGACAGUAGUGAGGAUGGGCUCAGUCACAGUGACCAUAGUGAUGGAGGUGUGGUGAUAGUGAUGGUGAUGGUGGUGGUGCUGGUGGUGGUGAUAGUGAUGGUGGUGGUGGUGGUGAUAGUGAUGGUGAUAGUGAUGGUGGUGGCGAUGGAGGUAGUGAUGGACGUGGUGUUACUGGCGGUGGUGGUGUGGAAGCGGUGAUGGUGGAGGUGAUGGAGGCUGUGGUGGUAAUGAUGGUAGUCAUGGUGAUGGUGGGGAUGGUGAGGGUAAUGGUGGUGAUGGAAGUUGUGGUUACAGUGAUGGUGUUGAUCGUGGUGGAGGUGAUGGUGCUAGUUGUGGUGGUGAUGGUGGUGGUGGUAGUGGUGGUGGUGGUGGUGGUGAUGAUGCCGGUGCUGGUGGUGAUGGGGUGCUGGUGGAGCUGGCCAUGAUGGUGGUUAUGGCCAUGCUCAUGGUGACAGUGGUGAUGAUGUAAAUGGAUUCUCCUCCUGGAGUUUCCUGGAGAAACAACUCUGCUUCCCCAGGGCUGCCUAGUCCCUCCCUGCCUGGGGGUGGUCCCCGGAGGCAGGAAAAGCAGAGCAUGGACUGAGCCUGACAGGCCAGUCAGUAUCUUGAACUCACAGAGAACAUUUAAUCUUAGUUAAAAGUAAAUAAGUUCAUUUACUGGGAGGGGAAGAAGGGCCCAAUAUUUACUGCANNNNNNNNNNGAUUACAGGCAUGAGGCACCGCGCCUGGCCUGGUUUUUAAUUACGAAGAAAAAAUUACUAUAGUCCCUUUGGUAUCACCUACAUUGGCA